rnacentral:misc_RNA from 1 species
GGCUUUGAUUUGCUUCCUACACCACCUGAUAUUGAGUCCACUUCUGGCUUAUAUUUCUUCACACCGCCAUUAACAUUAGCGCCAACAUCAUUUCUAGUCCUUUUUCUGUAAUCCAUAGCUUCAAAUUUACCUCACAGAUCAACAAAACCAGAAAUCACUAACAAAAAUCUACUUAAAACAACAAAAAUCAAGACCUAGAAGCAAAAUCG